AUUGCUUCUCGGCCCUUAGCUAAGAUCAAGUGUAGUAUUGGUUCUUAUCAGUUUAAUAUCUGAUGUUAGUAAAGGAUGUACUUGUACACGAGACUCAUGAGUUAUUGGUAUUGGUUUUCAUAAAAAUUUCAGUGCUGCAGAAAACAAUUGCACACAGAAACUAAAUGUGUGGUUCAGUUAAUGUAU